UACGUAGGUGGCAAGCGUUGUCCGGAAUUAUUGGGCGUAAAGCGCGCGCAGGCGGUCCCUUAAGUCUGAUGUGAAAGCCCACGGCUCAACCGUGGAGGGUCAUUGGAAACUGGGGGACUUGAGUGCAGAAGAGGAAAGCGGAAUUCCACGUGUAGCGGUGAAAUGCGUAGAGAUGUGGAGGAACACCAGUGGCGAAGGCGGCUUUCUGGUCUGUAACUGACGCUGAGGCGCGAAAGCGUGGGGAGCAAACAGG
rnacentral:rRNA from 1 species